rnacentral:rRNA from 1 species
CAGUCGCCGCGGUAAUACGGAGGGGGCUAGCGUUGUUCGGAAUUACUGGGCGUAAAGCGCACGUAGGCGGCUUUGUAAGUUAGAGGUGAAAGCCUGGAGCUCAACUCCAGAAUUGCCUUUAAGACUGCAUCGCUUGAAUCCAGGAGAGGUGAGUGGAAUUCCGAGUGUAGAGGUGAAAUUCGUAGAUAUUCGGAAGAACACCAGUGGCGAAGGCGGCUCACUGGACUGGUAUUGACGCUGAGGUGCGAAAGCGUGGGGAGCAAACAGGAUUAGAUACCCCAGUAGUCCCUGUCUCUUAUAC